AUGCAACUUCCAUUCGCCAGGGGGGGCUGUGUUUACAUAUCAUACCAUGGGUUUCAUGAAUCACCAUAUCCAGAGAUUCGUCGACACAGAUUGUUGCCAGAUAAUCUUCAGUGUGUGAAAGGCAUCAAGCUUCCAUGCAAUGGAUGGCUUUUGCAAACCCGACAUGCGGCGAUGUGGUUCAUGCCAACAGCAAAUAUGCACAACUUGAUUCGUGCUGAUAUCUAUACUAAGCCAUUACCAUAUAACUGGAAUUACCGAUGCAAGUCGAAGAAGGAUUGGCCGGUGCUGCCGGCUGACGUCAAGUUCGAUCCCAUGGAUCAGGAGCUGAUCGAGCACCUUGAGGCCAAAGUGAGUGCUGACAGUGCGAGAUCUCACCCUCUCAUCGAUUUGUUCAUACCAACCAUCGACAGCGAGCACGACAUAAGCUACACCCAACCUGAGAAACUUCCAGAUGUUAUGAAAAUGCCAACUACGUACACUAAAACCCGUAUCCGACAAUACUGCAGGGCGUUCAAAAGGGGCAUGUGGACGCGUCGCAAGAUACAGUCGGAGUGCGGCAUGCACGCGAUGUGGCACAAGACCGGAUAUACCUUCCCGGUGAUGGUCAACGGCCGGCAGACGGGUAGCAAAAAGGUUUUGGUGCUGCACACCAACAAGAACUUCGACCAGCAGAGGACCAGCUGGGUGAUGCACCAGUACCACCUCGGGGACCUGGAGCAAGAGAAGGAGCGGGAUCUGGUCCUCUGCAAGAUUUUCUACCACACGAACACUAGGGCCAGGAGUAAAAAGAUUAUAAGAUCUUUUGAUAUGAACUUGCAUUUGCUUCCAACCAUCAUGCCGAGCAUCGACGUGGAUAUAAAGCUGAAUCAUUUGUUUUGA
rnacentral:rRNA from 1 species